ACUCUACGGGAGGCAGCAGUAGGGAAUAUUGGGCAAUGGGUGAGAGCCUGACCCAGCCAUGCCGCGUGCAGGAAGACGGCCCUCUGGGUUGUAAACUGCUUUUAUAUAGGAACAAAAGGGUCCUGCGGGACAGAUUGCGUGUACUAUAUGAAUAAGCACCGGCUAACUCCGUGCCAGCAGCCGCGGUAAUAC
rnacentral:rRNA from 1 species